rnacentral:rRNA from 1 species
UACGGAGGGUGCAAGCGUUGCUCGGAAUUACUGGGCGUAAAGCGUACGCAGGCUGUUCGUUAAGUCGGGUGUGAAAUCCUGGAGCUCAACUCCAGAACUGCCUUUGAUACUGGGGAUCUCGAGUCCGGGAGAGGUGAGUGGAACUGCGAGUGUAGAGGUGAAAUUCGUAGAUAUUCGCAAGAACACCAGUGGCGAAGGCGGCUCACUGGCCCGGUACUGACGCUGAGGUGCGAAAGCGUGGGGAGCAAACAGG